rnacentral:tRNA from 1 species
AAGGGGGACCUAAUUCAGGUAUGGGACGAAAAAAAAGUAGUCGCUACCAAGAAUCAAUCCCAAAAGGUCGGAGCGAGGUAUGAGGCUUUCAAACUAGGUUCUGGGUUCAAACAAGACCUGAAUCAGGAACAAGGGCUAUUAGCUCAGGUGGUUAGAGCGCACCCCUGAUAAGGGUGAGGUCCCUGGUUCGAGUCCAGGAUGGCCCACCUGCACAGGUGGCAAAAACAAGAGAAGCGAGGAAUCAGCACCUUAUCUUAUCUAUAUAUAUAUAGGAGAGAAUGCUGGCUCUGAGUAAAGAGUCCAGAGGAACCUUGAAAACUGCAUAGAGCUAGGUGAAAAAGCCAAAAAAGAAGACCGCAAGGUCAAGCUAAUAAGGGCUAACGGUGGAUACCUAGGCAC